GUGAAAAUACUGCCAAAACUUCACACACACACAAAACGUGUUUUACUCGCGCCCAACGAUUCACAAACAAACUCAGUGUGGUUUGCAAAUACAAAACAUCAUUCACAAACUAAUGCAUUUUGUUCCGCAAAUAAGAAACGUACCUAUCAAACAAAUGCAGUAUGUUUUACAUAUACAAAGAAAAGUAUUUCUUUUAUGACAAAAAUAUCCUCCAAAUACAAACUAAAAUCUUUCAAGUACGAAAAAAAAUCCUCCAAGUACAAACUAAAAUCUUUCAUGUACAAAAGAAUCCUUCAAGUAUAAAAAAAAAAAAUCCUACAAGUACAAAACAAAAUUCUACAAGUACGAAAACCUGUCACGUGACUUUUGGCACUAAUUUUCCGCCUUGCUGAUCCACACACACGCCUUCAGAUCCACACACAUGCUUGUAAAAUGGGAUGUAAUUCGCACUCCACAACAGCAGGUGGCGCUGUUACCGACUUGCUUGCCGCCGCCACGGACAUGGAAAGAGAAGAGAAGAAGAAACGCUAGCGUGAGGAGGGUGUUUUGAACACGAUGAGCGGUCAACAGCAUCCAGUGAUGAACUGAAGGCACUCAUGAAGUUCUGGGUUGGAUGGGAGGCUCCUACAACUACUCUCACGUUAGAGGUGACUGACUGUAGUCUGCCAAAGUCUUCCACGUGCUUCGAGACCCUCCGUCUUCCUGUCCGCUACAAAGACUUCACUGUAUUUAAGGAAGAACUGAUUGCCUGCCUUCAAACAUGUGACACUGGAUUUGGAUUGGUGUAAUGGCAAUGCUAAAAUGUAGCUUCUUUCAAAGGGGCAGUUCUCAUUCAUGUUUUUGUUCAGUGUUGGAUAUCAAAUUAAGACUACGCCCCUUUACCUCCACAAACAGUGUGCAAAUGUAUUCAAAGAAUUCAAUGAAUGUCUUCAUCUGCCUUUAUCUUUGAGUCCUUCUAUGUUUUCCCAUCACUCUAAAAUCUGAUGCAGGUCUUUAGUCUUUUUAAUCAUCUUUCUGACACCUUCAAAACCUUUUAUUUCAACAUUUCCCCCAAUGUGACCAUGUUGCAUUGUCUCCUGGGUUGUUUGUUGUUGUCAGUUAAACUUAAGUUUCUGUAUUUUUGUUGUUGUUGUUCAAACCCUCAAGAUGUUUUAAGAUUGUAUUGUAUUCACACUACAAUAAAAAGAAAACAAUC